rnacentral:tRNA from 1 species
UGGCUCAGCUGGUAGAGCAUGGUGCUUCCAAUGCCAAUGCUGUGGGUUCAACUUCCAU